rnacentral:rRNA from 1 species
AGCGAACGCUGGCGGCAGGCUUAACACAUGCAAGUCGAGCGGGCGUAGCAAUACGUCAGCGGCAGACGGGUGAGUAACGCGUGGGGAACGUACCUUUUGGUUCGGAACAACUGAGGGAAACUUCAGCUAAUACCGGAUAAGCCCUUACGGGGAAAGAUUUAUCGCCGAAAGAUCGGCCCGCGUCUGAUUAGCUAGUUGGUGAGGUAACGGCUCACCAAGGCGACGAUCAGUAGCUGGUCUGAGAGGAUGAUCAGCCACAUUGGGACUGAGACACGGCCCAAACUCCUACGGGAGGCAGCAGUGGGGAAUAUUGGACAAUGGGCGAAAGCCUGAUCCAGCCAUGCCGCGUGAGUGAUGAAGGCCCUAGGGUUGUAAAGCUACUUUUGUGCGGGAAGAUAAUGACGGUACCGCAAGAAUAAGCACCGGCUAACUACGUGCCAGCAGCCGC